rnacentral:rRNA from 1 species
CAGUAGCCGCGGUAAUACGUAGGGUGCGAGCGUUAAUCGGAAUUACUGGGCGUAAAGCGUGCGCAGGCGGCUUUGCAAGACAGAUGUGAAAUCCCCGGGCUCAACCUGGGAACUGCAUUUGUGACUGCAAGGCUAGAGUGCGGCAGAGGGAGAUGGAAUUCCGCGUGUAGCAGUGAAAUGCGUAGAUAUGCGGAGGAACACCGAUGGCGAAGGCAAUCUCCUGGGCCUGCACUGACGCUCAUGCACGAAAGCGUGGGGAGCAAACAGGAUUAGAUACCCGAGUAGUCCCUGUCUCUUAUAC